rnacentral:rRNA from 1 species
UACGGGGGGGGCAAGCGUUGUUCGGAAUUACUGGGCGUAAAGGGCUCGUAGGUGGCCAAUUAAGUCAGACGUGAAAUCCCCAGGCUCAACCUGGGAACUGCGUCUGAUACUGGAUGGCUUGAAUCCGGGAGAGGGAUGCGGAAUUCCAGGUGUAGCGGUGAAAUGCGUAGAUAUCUGGAGGAACACCGGUGGCGAAGGCGGCAUCCUGGACCGGUAUUGACGCUGAGGCGCGAAAGCCAGGGGAGCAAACGGG